rnacentral:rRNA from 1 species
UGUGUAGGUGGUUUUGUUAGUCUUUCGUUAAAGCUCCCGACUCAAUCGGGAAAAUGCGAGAGAAACGGCAAGACUUGAGGAUGCGAGAGGUAUAUGGAACUCAUGGAGUAGGGGUGAAAUCCGUUGAUAUCAUGGGGAACACCGAAAGCGAAGGCAGUAUACUGGCGCAUUCCUGACACUGAAACACGAAAGCGUAGGUAGCGAACG